UUGCUCUUCAACGAGGAAUGCCUAGUAAGCGUGAGUCAUCAGCUCACGUUGAUUACGUCCCUGCCCUUUGUACACACCGCCCGUCGCUACUACCGAUUGAAUGGCUUAGUGAGAUCUCCGGAUUGGCUUUGGGAAGCUGGCAACGGCUACCUAUUGCUGAGAAGCUGAUCAAACUUGGUCAUUUAGAGGAAGUAAAAGUCGUAACAAGGUUUCCGUAGGUGAACCUGCGGAAGGAUCAUUAAUGAAAAUGUGUUGCCGGGGCCCAUAAUCCCGGCACUAACCUUCUUAUCCAUAACACCUGUGCACUGUUGGAUGCUUGCAUCCACUUUUAUACUAAACAAUUUGUAACAAAUGUAGUCUUAUUAUAAUUAAUAAAACUUUUAACAACGGAUCUCUUGGCUCUCGCAUCGAUGAAGAACGCAGCGAAAUGCGAUAAGUAAUGUGAAUUGCAGAAUUCAGUGAAUCAUCGAAUCUUUGAACGCACCUUGCGCUCCUUGGUAUUCCGAGGAGCAUGCCUGUUUGAGUGUCAUAAACCUCUCAAACCCAAGUUUUGGAUUUAUCCUUGCUUGAGUUUGGAUUUGGGUGUUUGCCAGUGAUGAACUGACUCACCUUAAAAGUAUUAGCUAGAUCUGUCUUUGACUGGUUUGACUUGGCAUAAUAAGUAUUUUGCUAAGGACAUCUUCGGAUGGCCAGGACUUGACUUUUGUCUGCUUACUAAACCUUACUUUAAGUGCAUCUCUGGUGUUACUUAUAGUAUUACUUUGACAUAUGGCCUCAAAUCAGGUAGGACUACCCGCUGAACUUAAGCAUAUCAAUAAGCGGAGGA
rnacentral:rRNA from 1 species